UCUGUAUAUGUGGUAGUAAGGAAUCGAACCCAGGGCUUCAUGCGUGCUAGGCAAGCACUCUACCACUAGGCCACAUUCCCAGCCCUCGUCCCUGGACUUAAUUUUAAAGGGAGAAAUAGUUUUAUAUUUAAAGUUUUAAUUAAUUUUAUUCAUUAUUUGAUUAUGUAGUACUGAGGAAUUGAACCCAGGACCUCAAGUAUGGUAGGCAAGCCACAUCCCAGCCCAGAGAGAAAUACUUUCAUGGCAGUUAGAACUGAUCAGGAAGUUUAUAAGUACCUUUGAUGACUUCAUUACAACCUGUUUACAAAGAAGUCUUUAGAAGCAUAGCAGAGAUUCUGUUUAUCAGUUUGAAACAAUCUCUAGCAGCUAUUUGGUUAAACCUCAUAUUUUUAGAGCUAAAAUGAAAGUUUUUAUAGCUUUAAAAUAGGGAUG